rnacentral:rRNA from 1 species
CCUACGGGGGGCAGAAGUGGGGGAUAUUGCACAAUGGGGGGAACCCUGAUGCAGCGACGCCGCGUGGGUGAAGAAGCGCCUCGGCGCGUAAAGCCCUGUCAGCAGGGAAGAAAAUGACGGUACCUGAAGAAGAAGCCCCGGCUAACGACGUGCCAGCAGCCGCGGUAAUACGAAGGGGGCAAGCGUUAUCCGGAUUUACUGGGGGGAAAGGGGGCGCAGACGGCGAUGCAAGCCAGGAGUGAAAGCCCGGGGCCCAACCCCGGGACGGCUCGUGGAACGGCGGGGCUGGAGUGCAGGAGGGGCAGGCGGCAUUCCUGGUGUAGCGGUGACAUGCGUAGAUAUCAGGAGGAACCCCGGUGGCGAAGGCGGCCUGCUGGACUGCAACUGACGUUGAGGCCCGAAAGCGUGGGGAGCAAACAGGAUUAGAUACCCGGGUAGUC